AUGAAAUCCUGGUGGCUGCUCCUCUCCCUGCUGGCUACUCCCCGCUGGGUCCUGUCCCAGGUGCAGCUGGUGGAGUCCGGCCCAGGAGUGGUGAAGCCCUCAGAGCCCCUCAGACUCUCUUGUGCAGUCUCCGGUUUCUCCAUCACAACGAGUGCUUACUGCUGGCAUUGGAACCGGCAAGCUCCAGAGAAGGGGCUGGAAUGGGUAGGAGCUAUAUGUUAUGAAGGCAAUGUAUACUACGCUUCUUCUCUCAAGAGUCGUGCGACAAACUCCAGAGAUGUGGCCAAGAACGAGUUCUCCCUGCAACUGAAUAGCGUGACAGUCGCAGACACGGCCCUGUAUUUCUGUGCGAGAGAGACCCACACAGUGCAGUGCAGUGAGUGUAAGCCCAGUCAAAAACCUUCCCUGGCAGUCGAUCAGGAGGAGGUUGAGCAAGAGGGGGAGCUCAGGACCCACUAA